AGGGACGGCCGGAGGGCCGCUGAUCCGAAAGGGUUGGAGGAACUUCCGGACUCCGAUGAGCGCGACGCCCGUCGAAAGGCGGGGGAUCGAGGGCCACAUCCCUCGGUCAUGGACAGUACCACAGAAAGUUACCGCCCGAAAGGGUAAGGGUGAAAAGGUGGGGUAAGAGCCCACCGGGAGAAGCCGCGAGGCUUCCCGCAAAGGUAAACCCCGUCGGGAGCAAGGCAGUUGGGCGGAGGACGCUGCUCGCGUCAGGAGGGAGCUUGCUCCCUCACGGCCGCCCGGUAGCCGCUGAGAGAAAUGGUCCUCGAGCCCGCAAGGGUGGACAGAAUCCGGGGUACAGGCCGUCCCUGAUC
rnacentral:RNase_P_RNA from 1 species